UACGUAGGGCGCAAGCGUUACUCGGAAUUACUGGGCGUAAAGCGUGCGUAGGUGGUGAGUUAAGUCUGUCGUGAAAGCCCCGGGCUCAACCUGGGAAUGGCGAUGGAUACUGGCUCGCUAGAGUGCGGUAGAGGGUGGUGGAAUUCCCGGUGUAGCAGUGAAAUGCGUAGAGAUCGGGAGGAACAUCAGUUGCGAAGGCGGCCACCUGGACCAGCACUGACACUGAGGCACGGAAAGCGUGGGGAGCAAACACGG
rnacentral:rRNA from 1 species